rnacentral:rRNA from 1 species
AUUGAACGCUGGCGGCAGGCUUAACACAUGCAAGUCGAGCGGGGUGAUGGUGCUUGCACUAUCACUUAGUGGCGGACGGGUGAGUAAUGCUUAGGAAUCUGCCUAUUAGUGGGGGACAACAUCUCGAAAGGGAUGCUAAUACCGCAUACGUCCUACGGGAGAAAGCAGGGGAUCACUUGUGACCUUGCGCUAAUAGAUGAGCCUAAGUCGGAUUAGCUAGUUGGUGGGGUAAAGGCCUACCAAGGCGACGAUCUGUAGCGGGUCGGAGAGGAUGAUCCGCCACACUGGGACUGAGACACGGCCCAGACUCCUACGGGAGGCAGCAGUGGGGAAUAUUGGACAAUGGGGGGAACCCUGAUCCAGCCAUGCCGCGUGUGUGAAGAAGGCCUUAUGGUUGUAAAGCACUUUAAGCGAGGAGGAGGCUCUUUUGGUUAAUACCCAAGAUGAGUGGACGUUACUCGCAGAAUAAGCACCGGCUAACUCUGUGCCAGCAGCCGCCGUAA